CCUCACCCCGCUCGCCGCCGCAACCGACAUAAAACCGCCCGCCGCCGCGGCAGACCUCGACCCGCCCGCCGCCGCCCCACUCUCCGCCCCGGCAGACCUCAACCCGCCCGCCGCCGCGGCCGCACCUCUGGCCGCUCGCCGCCCCCGCCCUCGCCGUUGCGCUUGAGCGCAGCUUCUGCCUGACGCGCAGCCAGAAGAAACCCCAGCCACCUGAAAGACCCCGCGGCGCCGCUGACACAUGAGUCCGAGGAUGCAGAGGGCGUGGGGAGUAGGAGGUGGGAGUGGGAGGAUGCAGCGGGGGUGGGGAGCAGGAGGUUGGGUCAGAGCUGGAUGAGGAGUGCGUGGGCCACUCGACAGUGCUCUCCCGGAGAUGCAUCGCAGGUCACGGACGACGAGGAGCGGGAGGAAUGUAGCGGCCUGGGAAUUUACAGAGGAAGGAGAUUCGUGGCAGACUCGCAUGUCACGCACGAUGAGGAGCCGGAGGAAAGUAGCGGCCCUUGGAAUUUACAGAGGAAUGCUUAUGUGCUAACAUUCGUAAUCUUCGUAUCUUAUGUGGUUCGUUGUCCUCCUGCUGCAGCUCGGAGGCGCGGCGGCUCUCGUUGAAGCUCAGCGGCCCGGCGCUCCCGCUGCAUCUUGGAGGCGCGGAGGCUCCUGCAGCGCGGAGGCUCCAGCUGAAGUUCGGCGGGGCAGCAGUUCCCGGCGGCCCGAGCAGACACGGGCGGGAUCCCAGCUGAAUCUCGAGGGAAGACGGUGACCGGCGAUGAAGCUCCUUACAUCACCUCUACCGCUGCUGUUCCUAUCUGCUGCCACCGUUUAGGUUCGUGUGUGUUCUCCCUAGGAAUCUCAUACUUGCAUCGGUUGGGAAUUGGCCAUGCCGCUGACGACCUGUGCUGUUUGCCACACCUAAAAACAGCGGUAGCAGGAGUAUGUUGAUUGUUGCGCUGUUACCAUCAGAUGAAUAGGAAAUCAACAGUAUUAGGCAUGUGUUACAUUCCCUAUUAGCUAGAAAAUACUUGCGGUACAUGCCAUUUGUGAGAAUGUCAAUCUUGGCUGCAAACAAACAUGGAUAAUUAGUAACUAGCCAUUGUCCAUGGCUCCGCGCAUGCCAAUCCUUAGCCAGACAAAACUUGUGGUACAUGCCAUCGCAAAUUUCAGGACAAAAAAAGGCGCAUGCCACUCCGAGUAUUAUGUUGUGCUUCAGAAUGACAAUGCUGGCACAGUUCUUGUGUACAUUGCUUUUUUUAUUAGAGAUUUUCUGUGCUACAUUCGUGGUGACAAGAAAACUGAAAAAUGUCUAGAUGCUGAAGAGUAUUUUCUUAUAGAUGCUGCAAAAUGUCUUUGUUCAAUUUAACUUGGGUCAUACACGAAGCUCCAGCUUCUAUAGAUAUCCUCUAUAGAUAGCAAUUAUCAUCUGCAUUCAUCUGGUUUCUUUUAUUAUUAUUAUUUUUGAACGGUCACCGGGGGGGAGAGCUUCCCCACCUGAAUAUAUUACCACUCAAAAUAGGAUCGAAGAAUUACAGCAUUGGUUCAGAUUACAACAACAACAGUUAACGAAUAGCAGCAGAGAGGAAAUUCAGCCAUUGCUUAGCAGAAGUAUUGUCUUCUUUCUUUUUGAACCGGAAGACCCAGAGGGAGAAAUCUGCUACAAUGUUACGAAUUGUAGUUCUGUGGGUGUGAUCCUCGUUUCUGAAUACGAGGGCGUUUCUCGAAUCCCAAAUCUUCCAUGCAACCGUCAGAGCGACCGAAGGCCAGAUGUUUGGGUUGAGGCCAGGAAUCGUAGGGUGUUGUUGCAGAUCAUCCAGGGAGGUUGGCGAUGGCAGACCCAAGGAGGAUCAAACCUGUGUUGCAUAGGAGGAGAGCACAAAGCGAACUAUUCUUUCGCCUUUUACUAAAGUUUCUUUUAUUAUGAUGGAUGGUUGUGGCCGGAACUGCAAAUGCUCAUUUAGAUUUGGAUGUAGAGGGUAAGAAUGCUGAGAAAGCACAGGAAUUUCAAUAGGUCAUGUGUUAGAUGGCAAUAUUAUUUUCAGGUUUGGUCAGAAUUCACCUGCUUUGCUACAAGUGUGGUGUUCGAUUUUCGGCCGGCAGCAAGUAUCUAAGACGAUUGGAGGUUCUUGCUGUGUAGUAUUGUUGCUGCUCCUGUUAAUGGACAUGUAUACGACCAAAAAUCCCACAGGGUGCCUCAAACGUGGCUAUUGAGUAAAUGCAUACAUUGCCAUGACAUGUCCUCCCUACUCAAUCGGCCGGACAUGUAUUCUUUUUUAUCCUUUGUUUAGCUUUAAAGAUUACUUUACUGGACUCAUCAUGCUUUUUACCAUAUAAGCAUGGAUGACUAGCAUAGUUGAGUAUUAGUUCAAUGGAAGUUUUUUUGCUUAAAUGAAAGUUUGUGGCAUUGAUUAUGAUGAUUUUUUUGCUUAAAUGGAAGUUUUUCUGUUUGAACUUUUGAUUAACUAUCUUUGUGACAAUGAUCCUCUAUACUUUAACUAUCUUUUGAUUAACUAUCUCCAUUUGACUGAAGAUGUUUCUUUGCUUCAUGAUCCUCUGAGACGCCCCCAGGUCACUGUCUCCACUCGCCAGCUGCCGGAUGCUCUCCUUAUAUGUGCUAAGGAUGCCAUGUCGACCACAUAUCAACCAACAGAUCUUCUGACAGGAACCAAUUAUUUGUGCUAAUCUUCAAACUCCGUUACAAGAGAUUUCUUAAAACUAAGCUUAAAUUUUACCGAUCCGGUACAUGGUUGACAUAGGAACUAAGAUGUGCAGAUACAGUUGGCUAAUGUCAUGCAUACUGGAGGAACAAAGGAGUUUAUGUCAGUUAAAUUUCCACUUCAAGAGAUUUGGUGGCCCUUCUUGGUAUGUCCAAUUGUUAAAUAUAGCACUGCAUCAACCAGACCUUAAUCCUCCACUUUUGUAAUUUUGACCACAAGAAACUGUAGUUUAAUUGUAGUAUUUGGACAAAGUUAAGCCAUACACCUAAUUGUAGCAUUUUGGAGGACGAGCUUCAUGAAGCUCGUUUUUCUGAAAAAUUCAAAAAUCAUAUUUUUUAAGUUCCGAAAAUUCUGGAACAAAUCAUCAAUAUUCGUAUGGA